rnacentral:rRNA from 1 species
GACGAACGCUGGCGGCGUGCCUAAUACAUGCAAGUUGAGCGCUGAAGGUUGGUACUUGUACCAACUGGAUGAGCAGCGAACGGGUGAGUAACGCGUGGGGAAUCUGCCUUUGAGCGGGGGACAACAUUUGGAAACGAAUGCUAGUACCGCAUAAAAACUUUAAACACAAGUUUUAAGUUUGAAAGAUGCAAUUGCAUCACUCAAAGAUGAUCCCGCGUUGUAUUAGCUAGUUGGUGAGGUAAAGGCUCACCAAGGCGAUGAUACAUAGCCGACCUGAGAGGGUGAUCGGCCACAUUGGGACUGAGACACGGCCCAAACUCCUACGGGAGGCAGCAGUAGGGAAUCUUCGGCAAUGGACGAAAGUCUGACCGAGCGACGCCGCGUGAGUGAAGAAGGUUUUCGGAUCGUAAAACUCUGUUGGUAGAGAAGAACGUUGGUGAGAGUGGAAAGCUCAUCAAGUGACGGUAACUACCCAGAAAGGGGCGGCUAACUACGUG